rnacentral:tRNA from 1 species
UAGCUCAGUGGUAGAGCAGUCGGCUGUUAACUGACCUUAUUAGGUUCAAAUCCUAC